UACGUAGGGGGCAAGCGUUGUCCGGAAUCAUUGGGCGUAAAGCGCGUGUAGGCGGCCCGGUAAGUCCGCUGUGAAAGUCGGGGGCUCAACCCUCGGAUGCCGGUGGAUACUGUCGGGCUAGAGUGCGGGAGAGGCGAGUGGAAUUCCUGGUGUAGCGGCGAAAUGCGCAGAUAUCAGGAGGAACACCAAUUGCGAAGGCAGCUCGCUGGAACGUUACUGACGCUGAGGCGCGAAAGCGUGGGGAGCAAACAGG
rnacentral:rRNA from 1 species